AACGAACGCUGGCGGCAUGCCUAACACAUGCAAGUCGAACGAGACCUUCGGGUCUAGUGGCGCACGGGUGCGUAACGCGUGGGAAUCUGCGCUUGGGUUCGGAAUAACAGUUAGAAAUGACUGCUAAUACCGGAUGAUGUCUUCGGACCAAAGAUUUAUCGCCCAGGGAUGAGCCCGCGUAGGAUUAGCUAGUUGGUGAGGUAAAGGCUCACCAAGGCGACGAUCCUUAGCUGGUCUGAGAGGAUGAUCAGCCACACUGGGACUGAGACGCGGCCCAGACUCCUACGGGAGGCAGCAGCGGAGAAUAUUGGACAAUGGGCGAAAGCCUGAUCCAGCAAUGCCGCGUGAGUGAUGAAGGCCCUAGGGUUGUAAAGCUCUUUUACCCGGGAUGAUAAUGACAGUACCGGAAGAAUAAGCCCCGGCUAACUCCGUGCCAGCCGCCGCGGUAAUAC
rnacentral:rRNA from 1 species